rnacentral:rRNA from 1 species
AACGAACGCUGGCGGCGCGCCUAAUACAUGCAAGUCGAGCGAGAAGGUGUAGCAAUACACUUGUAAAGCGGCGAACGGGUGAGGAAUGCAUGGGUAACCUACCCUCGAGUGGGGAAUAACUAGCCGAAAGGUUAGCUAAUACCGCAUACGUUUCCGGAGCUUCGGUUUCGGAAAGAAAGCAAUACCGUGGGUAUUGCGCUCCUGGAUGGGCUCAUGUCCUAUCAGCUUGUUGGUGAGGUAACGGCUCACCAAGGCUUCGACGGGUAGCUGGUCUGAGAGGACGAUCAGCCACACUGGCACUGCGACACGGGCCAGACUCCUACGGGAGGCAGCAGUAAGGAAUAUUGCGCAAUGGACGAAAGUCUGACGCAGCGACGCCGCGUGGGGGAUGAAGGUCUUCGGAUUGUAAACCCCUUUCGGGAGGGAAGAUGGAGUGGGUAACCACUUGGACGGUACCUCCAGAAGCAGCCACGGCUAACUUCGUGCCAGCAGCCGCGGUAA